UACGGAGGGUGCAAGCGUUAUCCGGAUUCACUGGGUUUAAAGGGUGCGUAGGUGGGUUUGUAAGUCAGUGGUGAAAUCUCCAAGCUUAACUUGGAAACUGCCGUUGAUACUAUAAAUCUUGAAUGUUGUGGAGGUGAGCGGAAUAUGUCAUGUAGCGGUGAAAUGCUUAGAUAUGACAUAGAACACCAAUUGCGAAGGCAGCUCACUACACGAAGAUUGACACUGAGGCACGAAAGCGUGGGGAUCAAACAGG
rnacentral:rRNA from 1 species